GACUGCACUCAGAACAGCUGAAUGUUUUUUUUCCUGUGUGAAUUCUCAUGUGUGUUAUCAGAUUACACUUUUGUCCAAAUUUUUUACCACACUUUAGACAGCUAAAUGGUUUUUCACUUACUUCCAUUUCUGUGUUUUGCUUUGAAUCGUUCCUAUAAUUUCCAAGUUCCGAGAAAUUAAACUGUUUCUUGCCAACACUGCAUCUGCUACGGCUAACAGAGACAUUGUUAUUUGUCUGACUGCUUAAACCUGAAUGAAGUUCUCUGAUCCGUUUCCAUUCACAGCUGUCGUCAGUCUCAGUUUCUGAACUGGUAACUGGUUUUGGAGCUGAGU